CAAUAGCGUAUAUUAAAGUUGUUGCAGUUAAAAAGCUCGUAGUUGAAUUUUUGCUUGCCGCCGAUGUCGGAACUUCCGUACGUUCGGCGGCGUGCAUCCUUGGGUGGAACCUGUGUGGCAUUAGGUUGUCGUGCAGGGGAUGCUCAUCGUUUACUGUGAAAAGAUUAGAGUGUUCAAAGCAGGCUUACGCCGUUGAAUAUAUUAGCAUGGAAUAAUAAGAUAGGACCUUGGUACUAUUUUGUUGGUUUGCGCACCGAGGUAAUGAUUAACAGGGACAGUUGGGGGUAUUCGUAUUCCAUUGUCAGAGGUGAAAUUCUUGGAUUUCUGGAAGACGAACUACUGCGAAAGCAUUUACCAAGGAUGUUUUCAUUAA
rnacentral:rRNA from 1 species